AAGCUCGUAGUUGAAUUUCGGGGUUAGUAGGUUGGUCAUGCCUCUGGUAUGUACUGGUCUCACUGAUUCCCCCUUCCUUAUGAACCGUAAUGCCAUUAAUUUGGUGUUGCGGGGAAUUUGGACUGUUACUUUGAAAAAAUUAGAGUGUUUAAAGCAAGCUAACGCUUGAAUACAUUAGCAUGGAAUAAUGAAAUAGGACGUUCGGUCUUAUUUUGUUGGUUUCUUAGGAUUGACGUAAUGAUUAAUAGGGAUAGUUGGG
rnacentral:rRNA from 1 species